CAGGAAGUGUAUCCGACUCAGUCCUGCGUUCGCAAGGCACCCAUCGCAACGCUUGCAUCCCACAGCUAUUCAUUCGUUUGCAGCGUUUUUGUUUCUUGCCCCGUUGUGGAGACAUGUCUUUGACACCACCACCUCAGUCUGACAGAUGAGGAAACGAAGACGCUAGGGGUUAAAGGACUCGCUCAAGGUGACCCGGACUGCAAACCGCAAAGGCAGGACCAGAAUCCAGAUCUGUCCAUGCCAAGGCCGGUCCGGAGCUUCCCCCUCACAGCCAGGAGGAUGAGGAGGGUCCAGAAGGGCCCGCACAAAGGGUGAGCACCCACUCCGUGUUCAGGAGCCUUGCGGGCCCUGAAGGUGCCACCGCGCGUGUGCCUGUCCGGGUGAGCGAGGCAGCGUGCCCAGCGAUUUUCACACGCGGCCUCCUUCUCUCUUUGCAAGGAUCUUAUGAACGGGGGGGGCGUGCAACCGCCUCCUCUUGGUUUCCGGCGGAGAAAGGGAAGCCCAGAGAAGGUAUUUAAAACUCUAUUCAAGCUUAUUUUUUAAAAAGGUACCAACAGACUCAAGAGCCACUAAGCACAGAUUUUCCAAGUGAACCUGUGUUUACUGUAGAAAAAUAGAAGAGACAGAAAAUGUACUCGGAUUCAGAUUCUGGAAGAAUAACACGCAGCAGACACAGCCUCUCGUCAGCUGGUCCCUCAUGAUCAGGAGGCUACUCUAUCCCCUACCCAUUGGAACUCAGGACAGAUAUUGAAACAUGUUCUCUUUCUGAACACACCUUGGUUCAUCCUCCAGGAAGCUUAUCUUUCCAUGGCUCCCAAGUACUACAGAGGGCGGUGCCAAGGGACAAAAGCCGACUCUUCACACACCUUCUGAUAGCACUGCUCCUGGUAGGUAUGGAGAAGGCAGGAGAUAGCUGGUCCUCACACAGCCAUCCCUGGCAGUAUUGAAGUUUAAGGGUUUGUGAGAACAAAACCAUUGCAAAAAAGCUCCUAGGGUUCUGUGGAGAAAGUGCCCAUAACUUAGAACAAGCAGAGAGCUCAUACAGACUGACUUCAGGUAUGGACAGGCACUUCCGUUUUUAUACAGCAAGGGGGACAAGGGUGGUGGUUCUUCAAUGUAGGCCACUUUGUUUUUUCUUUAAGAUUUGCCCGGGGGUGCCUGGGUGGCUCAGUCGGUUAAGCGUCCGACUUCGGCUCAGGUCAUGAUCUCGCAGUUUGUGAGUUUGAGCCCCGCGUCAGGCUCUGUGCUGACAGCUCAGAGCUUGGAGCCUGCUUCGGAUUCUGUCUCCCUAUCUCCCUGCUCCUCCCCUGUUCAUGCUCUGUCUCCCUCAAAAAUAAAUAAACAUUUAAAAAAAAUUAAAAAAAAAAAAAAGAUUUGUCCGGGGGCGGUGCCUGGGUGGCUCAGUCGGUUAAGCAUCCGGCUUUGGCUCAGGUCAUGAUCUCACGGUUUGUGAGUUCGAGCCCCAUGUUAGGCUCUGUGCUGACAGUUCAGAGCCUGGAGCCUGCUUCGGAUUCUGUGUCUCUCCCUCCCUCUACUCCUCCCCUGCUCGUGCUCUCUCUCAAAAAUAAACAUUAACAAAAGUAAAAAAAAAAAAAAAAAAAAAAAGAUGUGCCCAUAUUCAUUGGGGAACAGAGACACAUAUGCUCAUCAUAGUGAUUGUUUCAAGGGACAGACGCCCACCAGAGGAGGUGUAAGGAGAGUUGGGGCUGUAUUGUAAAGGUCCACCUUUCUCCAGGGGAGGACUCCCAGGGCAGGAAAGCAGGUCUCCUGAGCACUGGAAGUAGGAAAGAGAAAGUCAGCCUGCCGAGAAAGUUUGUAGAUGCCCUGGCAGUUACACGGUUCCUCAGUGGGCCCACACCAUCUGUUUUCUGUCUCUACCAGCUGUCUCUUCUCUCUCUCGCACGUGGCCCAACACGGCCACUCCAGCAGAGUCCACGUGAACCUUGCGCUCAAGGACCUACCACAACUUCACUUGCUUCUCUUCCUUCAAUCCUGCUUCCCUGACUUC